UACGUAGGGUGCGAGCGUUAAUCGGAAUUACUGGGCGUAAAGCGUGCGCAGGCGGUUCGUUGUGUCGGCGGUGAAAGCCCCGGGCUUAACCUGGGAAUGGCCGUUGAAACUGGCGAACUGGAGUGUGGCAGAGGGGGGUGGAAUUCCGCGUGUAGCAGUGAAAUGCGUAGAUAUGCGGAGGAACACCGAUGGCGAAGGCAGGUCACUGGGCCGCAACUGACGCUGAGGAGCGAAAGCAUGGGGAGCGAACAGG
rnacentral:rRNA from 1 species